CAGGUUGUGAACUCGAAGAGUAGGGCGGGACACGUGGUAUCCUGUCUGAAUAUGGGGGGACCAUCCUCCAAGGCUAAAUACUCCUGACUGACCGAUAGUGAACCAGUACCGUGAGGGAAAGGCGAAAAGAACCCCGGCGAGGGGAGUGAAAAAGAACCUGAAACCGUGUACGUACAAGCAGUGGGAGCACCUUCGGGUGUGACUGCGUACCUUUUGUAUAAUGGGUCAGCGACUUAUAUUCUGUAGCAAGGUUAACCGUAUAGGGGAGCCGAAGGGAAACCGAGUCUUAACUGGGCGUUAAGUUGCAGGGUAUAGACCCGAAACCCGGUGAUCUAGCCAUGGGCAGGUUGAAGGUUGGGUAACACUAACUGGAGGACCGAACCGACUAAUGUUGAAAAAUUAGCGGAUGACUUGUGGCUGGGGGUGAAAGGCCAAUCAAACCGGGAGAUAGCUGGUUCUCCCCGAAAGCUAUUUAGGUAGCGCCUCGUGAACUCAUCUUCGGGGGUAGAGCACUGUUUCGGCUAGGGGGCCAUCCCGGCUUACCAACCCGAUGCAAACUACGAAUACCGAAGAAUGUUAUCACGGGAGACACACGGCGGGUGCUAACGUCCGUCGUGAAGAGGGAAACAACCCAGACCGCCAGCUAAGGUCCCAAAGUCAUGGUUAAGUGGGAAACGAUGUGGGAAGGCCCAGACAGCCAGGAUGUUGGCUUAGAAGCAGCCAUCAUUUAAAGAAAGCGUAAUAGCUCACUGGUCGAGUCGGCCUGCGCGGAAGAUGUAACGGGGCUAAACCAUGCAC
rnacentral:rRNA from 1 species